rnacentral:tRNA from 1 species
GCAGUGAUGGUUCGGUGGUAGAAUUCUUGCCUUCCAUGCAGAAGACCUAGGUUCAAUUCCCGGCUAAUGCG